rnacentral:rRNA from 1 species
UACGUAGGGACCAAGCGUUGUUCGGAUUUACUGGGCGUAAAGGGCGCGUAGGCGGCAUGACAAGUCACUUGUGAAAUCUCCGGGCUUAACUCGGAACGGCCAAGUGAUACUGUCGCGCUAGAGUGCGGAAGGGGCAAUCAGAAUUCUUGGUGUAGCGGUGAAAUGCGUAGAUAUCGGGAGGAACACCAGUGGCGAAGGCGGGCAUCUGGGCCAACACUGACGCUGAUGCGCGAAAGCUAGGGGAGCAAACAGG